ACUUAUCCUCAAUUAUCAACUCAAACCUCCACCUCUAAUCUAAGUGUUUAAUUGUACUUCAUCUUUCCUUUGUAUCGAUAGAAUGAACUUCUAAGAAGCUAAUACCACCAUCAGAUCAAAAGAAUCAAUUUAGAAACAAUACAAACUGACCUUAUGACGCCAACAGGUUUCCAAGUCUUAAAAGUUACGGCUGCAUAUCAGAAUUGGUGGAUCUAUUGUUUAGAUACUGGUACCAUUAACAACACAAGGUCUCACCAUGUGUAGGCGUUUCCAUCCAAUGGAAUCAUUCCGAACAAUUGGAAUUACUAACAGAACCACUGAGAUCACCAACUACUGGAUGUAGAUGCCCUUAGCAGGAACUUCCAACAUCUAUUAUACACUCCACAUGACUUCUGUAUAAAAUGAGUCAAUGUGUGGUUAUGCUCCUGGUUCGGGAUUUAUCAGACAUAUUAGGUGGAUUUGAGCCACCAACUAAGCCGUAAUAACUCUUCUACCGGUCUGUUGGCUCUCCCUCGCUUGAGUUUUUUAUUCAAAUAAAGUCAGUCUAUACGCCUUCCAUAUAAAGUGUUAAACCUAGAAAAAAACUUUCAUGGUAGAAUACGUUUAUUUGUAUCAUGUGCAUUUGAACUAAAAAAUCUAAUAUACGUAUUCACUCUAUACCAACAUGUUCAUUUUAUGUUCUACGUGAAAAUAAUUUUGUUCAAAAAGCCUUUACAUUGCUGACCAGCUUUAUAUUAACUUUGUCUUUUAAUUUUAUUAUUUUAAAAAAAUGGAAAAGAGGUUGAAGUAAAAUGGUGGUAUUUCAAGUGGCUGUAUUUUUUUACGAACUACAUUCACCUGAUUCUCACUAAAAUGAGAUAUGUAGGCAUCCCUUGUCGGGUUCGGUGUCUAUAAAAAAAGGGUAUCUUAUCCAAUAAAAGAACUUGACUUUUACUUUCUCUUUCCUUCCUUGAUUAAUGUGUGUGAUAAAACUUUAUUUUAAAGGUACAAAUGACACCUACAACUAAAGUACAUGGUUCUGAAAGUCCUAGAAGUAGAGGAAUUCCAGAAUAUGGCACCUACAACUAAAAGACAUGGUUCUAAAAGGCCUAGAAGUGAAAGGACUCUAGAAUGCAUGAUAUUUGACAUAAUACCCAAGAAUCUACGGUGAUGGUGGACAGACAUGGGGAAUUAUGAGCAAAGAAAUGUAAAAGAACAUUUGGGGCAUCUUGUGAAUUUUAUGGAGAUUGACCCAAGAAUAAAUAUGGUUGACGCAUUGAUUCCAUUCUGGGAUCCAAAACUAAUGUAUUUCAAUUUUCUAACUUUGAGAUGACACAAACUUUGUAAGAAAUUGCCAGUAUCAUGUGAAAAAAAUCCAGUAUUCAGGGUGUUGAUCUUCGCAGCAGAAGACCUAAAAUCCCAAAGAACGUCGACGCCAACAAGUUCCAGGAACUUCGAAAGAUCAAUAAAAUAGAGAAGGAGAGUUUGAAAAAUGGGUGAGUCUCUUUGGACUUUCUAUAUGAGAAGUACGAUCAAAAGGAUGGAAUUAAAAAUUACCACACCCAACUUAGUAAUCAAAGGGACUUAUAGGCUUGAAAUGGAUGUUUUUCAUUCAUGGUGGCGGUUUUGGGGCUCAUCGUGUUACUCAAAAGGGAUAUGCAUAUCGACAUUCAUUUGGCAGAUGUGGUGAAGGCGCUAACCACAAUCAAAAGUCCUAUCAUUAUUCCCAUGAUCCUGACCGAUAUGUUCUAUGCAUUGACUAAAUGAAAAAAUGGGGAAAUGUACUUUCAAGGGUGCAACAUCUUGCUGCAAAUAUGUUUCUUAGAACAUUUUUAUCAUCAUGAUUGUGCACCCAAGUUCACUCCAGAUUGUUCUUGCUGCAAAAUAGUUCUUAGAACAUUUUUAUCAUCAUGAUCGUGCACCCAAGUUCACUCCAGAUUGGUGUAAUUAUGUUUCCUCUCAUAAGUAAGAAAAGCAAAAAUCGAUUUUCCCAAAGGAAUUUUAGCAUGUGAAGAGAAACUCGUAUUAAUCACAUCUGAUGAAAUUGUAUGAAAUUAUUAUUGAUUCCCAACUAAGGAUGUUAUUUGCAUGUGUACUAGUAUCUCGUUUCUUAUGUUGAUUGGAUUUAGAGGUAUCCAAUCCUAUGCCCCAUUUCGGGUUAUGCGUCGGCUGGCUAGAGUUCAAGAAGUCCCACCAAAUAAUUACACGAUUACAUUUGUAUUUGACACCCCCAUUAGAUUUUGCCUUUGAUAGCCAAAAUAUUCUGAAGAUCUGAUUCGGGAGUAUAAUUUAUGAGCAAAGUUAAAUGGUUAUGGAGUAAGAUAAAGGAAAAAUGGUGUGUGAUCACCUAUCAUGGUUUCGUGAUCUAGUAACAUUUGGUGACACUCCCGAAGGAUUAAGCAUAAAAAAAAGACAAGCACAUCAUAAGAUGGUUCGAAAAAGAGUUGGAGAAGGCCAAAGCCAACAUAUCCUGACAAAAAGUUCAAGUCCAAAUAGGAAGAAGUCACCAGUUGAAAUUACAAGAUGUUUAGAGGGAAUUGAAGAACACAGAGAGGAAAUUAGCUCGAUUAGAAGAGGAGUUAGAGAGCAGGAUGUAUUUGUCGAAAAAAUCAAAUCUUUAAGAUUUCUCGAUUGAAGAGGGACGUAGGCCUCAUUUGUUUGCACUUAAUGGAGGUCUGAAUCUUAAUCAUUCAGAUUCAGCCCAUUAAAUUUAUUUGUUUUAUCUUUUGAAAUACCUCUUAAUAGGUAUGAAGAGGUAUGAACGAAUCAGGUCUAUAGGAGAGUCUUAAACACAUUCAGACUCAUUUGAUAAGUUAUCAACUAAUAAAUCAUAUCUUCUCUGCUUUGGACGUGCCUUUUUAUCUCAUAACUAAAAAACUUUUUUUCUCUGUUUUCUCAAUCAA